rnacentral:rRNA from 1 species
GAGCGGCGCACGGGUGAGUAACGCGUAUCCAACCUUCCCCUUAGUAGGGCAUAGCCCGGCGAAAGUCGGAUUAAUACCCUAUGUUCUUCGUAGAUGACAUCUGACAUGAAGCAAAGAUUUAUCGCUAAGGGAUGGGGAUGCGUCCGAUUAGCUUGUUGGCGGGGUAACGGCCCACCAAGGCACCGAUCGGUAGGGGUUCUGAGAGGAAGGUCCCCCACACUGGUACUGAGACACGGACCAGACUCCUACGGGAGGCAGCAGUGAGGAAUAUUGGUCAAUGGGCGGUAGCCUGAACCAGCCGAGUAGCGUGCA